rnacentral:rRNA from 1 species
AGCCCUUAGGGUUUGAUCAUGGCUCAGGACCCGGGCCAACACUUUCCAGGAUGUUCGAAGAGGCUGGACAUAGCAUGGCAAUCUAUGAUCCUNNCUAUGCGAAGGACGAGUCUGUGUGGGAAGAACGAUAUGAUUUUAUAACCGCCAGUGAAGUGGCGGAACAUCUGCACCAGCCAAGAAGGGAGUUUGAUCGACUGUGGGCUUGCCUAAAGCCCGGCGGGACAUUGGGUGUCAUGACGAUGCUAGCGCCGGCGCAGGAGGCGUUCGCAACAUGGCACUAUAAAAAUGAUAUGACCCACGUCAGUUUCUUUUCGCGCAAUACGUUUGAAUGGCUUGGUCACCCGUGGGGUUCCAAUCCAAAAUUCUUUGGCAACGAUGUAGUUCUAUUCCAGAAAAGUCCGAAACAAGGUAACCC